rnacentral:rRNA from 1 species
GCCUAGCCUUAAACAUCGAUGGCACCAUCCGCCAGGGAACUACGAGCAUUAGCUUAAAACCCAAAGGACUUGGCGGUGCUUUAGAUCCACCUAGAGGAGCCUGUUCUAGAACCGAUAACCCCCGUUAAACCUCACCUUUCCUUGCCCGCCUAUAUACCACCGUCGUCAGCUUAUCCUGUGAAGGCCUUUUAAUAAGCAAAAUUGGCAAAGCCCAAAACGUCAGGUCGAGGUGUAGCGUACGGAAAGGGAAGCAAUGGGCUACAUUACCUCGGUUAUUGAAAAAAGGAGGAUUUAGUAGUAAGAGAAGA